CCAGAAGAACGGCAAGACAUCGUCCAAAUCAAUAAAUUCGAACUUAAGUUGGUGGAUGUCAAGAAACUGAAUGUCAAGUUGGAAAACCUUUUCAACGGAAACAAACAAUUAGGAGAUAGCAUGAACUCCAUCCUGAACGAAAACUGGGAAGUUCUUCUAGAAGAACUGAAACCAGCAUUCGAAGAAGCAGUUGGAGCUAUUGCACAAGAUAUUGUUAAUAAAGCAUUGCAAAAGACCGCGUACUCAGACAUAUUCCCUAUGUAGUUCGUUGGAUCGUUGUAUUUGUUUUAAGUUUCCUAACCAAAAAUGUUGUUAUUCUUAAUUUAAUGCACGUCACAGUCAAUAUGCACUGGAGUAGCUCGACAAAAAUGUCUUAAGUGAUCGACGCUAACGAGAUUCUCACAUAUAGUGCCCACUUUCUGCUGACCUGUUAUUAUUUUUUAUAGAACUAUGACUAUUAUUAGCUCGUCUCAAUACCAAAUUGAUGACUUGCAAAUUAUUUAUUUGAAAAACCUAGCGUUUUUAUUAAGUUAUUAAAUGUUAUUUAUAUGAAAAAUAUAAAUUAAAUUAUUAAAUUAUUACCUAUACGGAUAUACAAGUAAUUAUUGAGUUGAAUUUAUUAUCUAUGAAUAUAUUUUUGUCCUGAAAUCACCUCUCUAAUAGUACUAUGUUUUACUUCACAUUCAAUGUUAAGGUCAUCACUUACUUAUCACAAUACAAUAUCUUUCUGUUGUUUAUUACUAAUUUAUGUAAUUGCACAUCUAUAUGGAAUCAUAAUAUUCUAAAAUUGACUACUAUAAAAAUGAAGCUAAUUAAAAUUUAAAAUCUCACAUAAUAUAUCUAUUUCAUAUUUAUAUAAACGUAUAAUGAUUUCACCUUCAUUUUUUGAAUACAAAUUGUAAACUCUGUAAUAAACAUUUUAUUUAUCAUGU